rnacentral:rRNA from 1 species
CCCUUAGAUGUUCUGGGCUGCACGCGCGCUACACUGACGCACGCAACAGGUGCCUGCUCCGAGAGGACUGGGUAAUCAUUUGAGUGUGCGUCGUGAUGGGGAUAGAAUAUUGUAAUUAUUACUCUUCAACGAGGAAUUCCUAGUAAGCGCCAGUCAGCAGCUUGCGCUGAUUACGUCCCUGCCCUUUGUACACACCGCCCGUCGCUCCUACCGAUGGGUGAUCCGGUGAAUGAUUCGGACUUCAGCGGCUCCCCUGGGGUGCGCCGGAGAAAGUUUUGUGAACCUUAUCACUUGGAGAAAGGAGAAGUCGUAACA